rnacentral:rRNA from 1 species
UUAAGAUAGUAAGAGCAUACGGUGGAUGCCUUGGCGAUAUCUGCCGAUGAAGGACGCGACAAGCUGCGAAAAGCUGCGGUGAGGUGCAAAUGACCUUUGACCCGCAGAUGUCCGAAUGGAGCAAUCCGGCUGUGGUUAUGCACAGUCACCCAUGCCUAUGAGUAUGGGAGGGAACCAGGCGAACUGAAACAUCUAAGUAGCCUGAGGAGAAGUAAUCAAACGAGAUACCCCCAGUAGCGGCGAGCGAACGGGGCAGAAGCCCAAACCGCAGAAGGAAACUUUUACGGGGUUGAGGGCCGUCAUACGAACGUGGAAUCCAGCUGAAGCUUCUGGGAAGGAGCGCCGCAGGAUGUGAAAGCCAUGUAAGCGAAAGAGGAAGCGGAACAGACGGUACCAGAGUACCGCGGGACACGAGAAACCCCGUGGGAAGCAGGGGGGACCACCCUCCAAGGCAAAACACAGAUAUCGACCGAUAGCGCAUAGUACCAUGAGGGAAAGGUGAAAAGCACCCCGGGAGGGGAAUGAAACAGAACCUGAAACCGUAUGUUUACAAGCAGUCGGAGACCGUAUAUAUAUCAGGUCGACGGCGUGCCUAUUGAAGAAUGAACCGGCGAGUUAUGAGGUCCAGCGAGGUUAAGCAGGAAAUGCGGAGCCGAAGCGAAAGCGAGUCUUAACAGGGCGAGUAGUUGGACUGCAUAGACCCGAAACCACAGUGAUCUACCCAUGUCCAGGUUGAAGCACAGGUAAAAAUGUGUGGAGGACCGAACCUAUAUCCGUUGAAAAGGGUUAGGAUGAGGUGUGGGUAGGGGUGAAAUUCCAAUCGAACGUGGAGAUAGCUGGUUCUCCCCGAAAUAGCUUUAGGGCUAGCCUCAGGGUAAAGAUUGCAGGCGGUAGAGCACUGAUCAGGAGAGGGACCUACCCGGUUACCAAACCCAGUCAAACUACGAAUGGCUGCAAUUAUACCUGGGAGUCAGACUACGACUUAUAAGGGCCGUGGUCAAAAGGGAAACAGCCCAGAUCAUCAGCUAAGGUCCCAAAUGCCGUGCUAAGUGGCGAAGGAUGUGGCGUUUCAUAAACAACCAGGAUGUUGGCUCAGAAGCAGCCACCAUUUAAAGAGUGCGUAAUAGCUCACUGGUCGAGAGACGCUGCGCCGAAAAUGUCCGGGGCUCAAGCACGGAACCGAAGCUAUGGCAUUGCGUAAGCAAUGGGUAGGGGAGCGUUCUUAUGGGGAAGAAGCAUUACCGUAAGGAGAUGUGGACACAUAAGAAGUGAGAAUGCCGGUAUGAGUAUCGAAAAGAAAGGUGAGAAUCCUUUCCACCGAAAGCCCGAGGGUUCCUGAGCAACGAUCGUCGUCUCAGGGUAAGUCGGGACCUAAGCCGAGGCACAGACGCAUAGGCGAUGGACAACAGGUUGAAAUUCCUGUACCGGAUGGAGUCAUUUGAGCAAUGGAGUGACGCAGGAGGGCACAUGAUCGCGCGACUGGAAGAGCGCGUCCAAGUGCGUAUGUUGAAUCGGAGGCAAAUCCCCGAUUCUGAAAGCAGAGACAUGAUGGGGAGUUAUAAGCGAUUAUGACGAACUCAUGGAUCCCACACUGCCAAGAAAAACUUCUAGCGAGACGAAAUCCGCCCGUACCGUAAACCGACACAGGUAGGCGGGGAGAGAAUCCUAAGGUGCGCGGGAAAACCCUCGUUAAGGAACUCGGCAAAUUGCAUCCGUAACUUCGGGAGAAGGAUGGCCCUGAGUAGGCGAAGUGCAGAAACGCACGGAACAGAAAAGGGUGGCAGAAAAGAGGCCCAAGCAACUGUUUACCAAAAACACAGGUGCCUGCGAAAGCGAAAGCUGAAGUAUAGGUGCUGACGCCUGCCCGGUGCUGGAAGGUUAAGGAGAGAGGUUAGCGCAAGCGAAGCUUUGAACUGAAGCCCCAGUGAACGGCGGCCGUAACUAUAACGGUCCUAAGGUAGCGAAAUUCCUUGUCAGGUAAG